UGUUCAUCGAUACCUUCGUGGAGCUACAAAGU
rnacentral:piRNA from 1 species